rnacentral:rRNA from 1 species
GACGAACGCUGGCGGCGUGCUUAACACAUGCAAGUCGAACGGAAAGGCCCUGCUUUUGUGGGGUGCUCGAGUGGCGAACGGGUGAGUAACACGUGAGUAACCUGCCCUUGACUUUGGGAUAACUUCAGGAAACUGGGGCUAAUAUCGGAUAGGAGCUCCUGCUGCAUGGUGGGGGUUGGAAAGUUUCGGCGGUUGGGGAUGGACUCGCGGCUUAUCAGCUGGUUGGUGGGGUAGUGGCUUACCAAGGCUUUGACGGGUAGCCGGCCUUAGAGGGUGACCGGCCACAUUGGGACUAAGAGAGGGCCCAGAAUCCUACGGGAGGCAGCGGGGGGGAAUAUUACACAAUGGGCGGAAGCCUGAUGCAGCAACGCCGCGUGCGGGAUGACGGCUUUCGGGUUGUAAACCGCUUUCGCCUGUGACGAAGCGUGAGUGACGGUAAUGGGUAAAGAAGCACCGGCUAACUACGUG